rnacentral:misc_RNA from 1 species
ACACCCUCAAGCUCUGCUUGGUGUUGGGCGUCUGUCCCGCCUCCGCGCGCGGACUCGCCCCAAAUCCAUUGGCAGCAUCCCUUGCCCCCUCUCGCGCAGCACAUUGCGCUUCUCGAGGGCGGCUCCGGGGCGCGACCCACCGAAGAUGACCAACCGU